AAUCCUUAUCCAAUGUUCAUGCAGGUGGUGUUUUAAAGGGAGGAACUGCAUUGUCUAAACCCAAUCUAGGACCUCCCGACUGGGGCACUUAAACCUCUCUGGGGAAGGCUGAGAACAGUCAUGUCAGGGGGAAGGAGACGCAAGACAAAAGGACAUUAUUACGGUGCUUUUUCCGUUUUUCUUUUUGCACAAAAACAGUCCAUUUAUUCAAGUGUUCUCCAGCACAAGUACAUUAGAAAGGAGCUUUAUUAUAUUCUUCUGGGCACAAAAAAAAAAAAUGUGAUGAAGGCGGAAUUGACAGACUUUCUACAUCUGCUGUACGCACUGACCUCUUUAUAAUUAUUUCAUAACAGCUAUGUCACGAGCAUCACUUACACAGAGAUACAACAGGACAUGGGGGCGUGGUGGUGGGGACCCACGCAGGGCCUUCUCACACCCCCUCCCCGAUGUCCCAGAACCAGACUGUGAAAUGUACAUUAUUAUUGUCAAUAAAUAGAGAAGCAACCCUAAAAAAAAAAAAAAAAAAAAAUACAGUGGUGAAAGGAUGCUGGAACCAGGAAGAAAAAACAACAACAACAACAACAAAGAGUCAGAAGAGGAACUGAAGAAAAAGGAAAGAGGGCCGGGAAGGGAAGGGUCGGGGAGUAAGUCCUGCAUUUAGCUGCGUGGAAUGUGCAGUCAAAGUGUUCUCCCGCCGGGGUCAAAGCGAAAUCGUCUGUAACAGUAAAAGUUAUUACCAAAUCAGCUACGGAGUUUAUUCUUCAGUAUGAAUACAUGAUUUCCCACAAAUAAGUAAGCACCCGCUGCUUCAAUGCCUCAGCUAAAACACAUGAAAUCGCUCAUUCAGUUUUCAAGUACAAAGUUAAAAUGCCUUUUUAAUAAUAAUAUAUCAGAGUAAAAUAAUAGUCUCUUUUAAACUCCACUACAAGGAAACAAAACAAACAGUCAUUGUCCAGACAGCAGACUUAAUUUAACAAUAUAUAUUUUUAAUAAAAUGUUUUAGCACCUUGUUGAGUCACCUCCUCCCUCUGCGUAUUCUAAGGAAUUUCGGUAUUUUUGUGGUUGGUUGGAUUCUAGGGCUGUGCUACCAAAUCAGUCUGUGAAGUGAAAUGGGACUCCGGUGAUGCUUUCGGAUCCCUGCUCAUGUUCUCGGGCCCAGGGCUGGAGGCCAUGAGACUGGAGGUUGAGAAAGCCACCCUCCCAUGCCCCUCGGGGGAGUUUUCCAGUUAGGGGAGUUACAGGAGUCUGGGGGCUUCCGCCAGGGCAAUUUCCGCCAGUCAUGACCAGCCAAGGACCUUCCAUCCUUGUCCUCACUGCUUCUGACCUGCUUGUCUGUCCCUCUCCCCUGGACUCCACUGUCAAGGGCCAGCGGUGAACAGGAGGUGGCCAACCAAAGGCCUGCUCAGCUGGGUCUCUGGAACACACAGUGCAAGAGGGGCUGACCUCACAUCCUAAAGACCCCAGCCUUCCUUUACCAAAAUGUAAAGAUCCAAGAGCUUCUGCUAGAACAGUGGAGUCCAUCCUUGAUAUAAACCUGUCCUCUUUCCUCUUAGAUCCUCCAAACACUUGUGGUUAAUCCUUGCCCCAGCAGGGAACAGCCGGGCGGGGGUGGGGAAGGGGUGGGGAUUCCAGCUCCACGCCAUCCCUCCAAAGGUGGAGGAAAAGAGAGCUGGACAACUCCAGUGUCAUCUCUGACCACAAGCGCUGGAAGCGUCCAGACUAGACCCUGCCUGAUGACAAAUUCAGAUUCCUCAUCUCCCAGGAUCAAAACAGGGCCUGGCUAGGAACCCAGUUCUCACCAGCAUCUGGGCUCUGCUAACCACAAGUAACAACCAGCUCUCAUCAGAUCUGAUCGCGGUGCCAGGCAGGUCCCAUGGCCCUAACUCUGCAAGUUCCCUGAAAACGACACCUCUUAAAGACACCCUUGCCAUAGCAUCUCUGCACCAGGCAGGACAACAGGAAUUCAAAACCGCCUCCGAGACCCACUUUAUAUAUAACUUUUGUCAUCAGUGAGAUGAAGACUAAGACUACUCCCUGGAUGGCAAUGCUGAAAGAAUCCUUUCCUUGUUCCUGUUGUACACCAUCCUGUGCUGGAGAUGGUGCUAUUCCCAUCGAGGUUUCCCCAGAAUUGCCAAUUGCUCGGGAAGUAGGGGGAGACUAGUUCAAUGUCCACUAGCCUUCCUUCCUGCUGGGUCGGCCUGUCCCAAUCCACAUCGUACAAACUCAUUAAAAACCCACACAGGCACCUUCGCCAGCCAACCUCUCCCAGGCCCAUCUCAAAAGCAAAGCGGCCCCCCCUCUGUGACCUCAGCCAGUUCCCCCAGCCCAGAGCCACGGAUCUCUUUGGCACCACACUCCACUUGGCACCUGCAGUAAGUAGGGGGUACCACCCUAAGUCCCUGGAAACCCCCAUUUCCAGGAAUUUGUAAAUGAGCCUGCUCAAGAGAAACAAAACUCCACCAAGAACAUGCUCCAGAAUUUUCCAAAGGCCUUCCUGGUUUCUCCCACUGCACUGCCUCUACCAAUGAUCCCCCACCUUAAUCCACGCACAACCUUGACCAGGCCUGUCCAAGCACAACUCUCCUUUAGAAGGUAUACCCAGAGGCACCCCAGGGGUUGGAAGGAGAUUGUGAAGAGCACCCCAGCCUGGCCAAGUUGGCACAUUCCCAAGGUCCCCUUGGGACUUGCCAAGUUCUACUGUGGGACCAAGCCCCCAGGUGUGGCUGGAAGAAAAGCUGGCAAUUGUUAAUGCUCAUCCCUGCAAGGGGGCCUCUGGCCAAGUCAGGUUGCCAGACCAGGAGGAAAAAGGAUCAGCCACAAUAAGCAAGCUGGCUGGCCCACGCUGACCCCUCAAGGCUUGCCACAUCCUUGGCUACCAAGUUUCUUUCCCAUGCAAGCUCCCUGGAUGGAACUUGGGCCACUGGGAAAAGCAAACUCCUGCACACACAUAGCCUAGCAGAACAGAAGGUCCGCAGAGGAAGAGACAGUCCUGACACGGGCUGGGAAGACCUUAGCAUCGGCCGCCGCCAGGGGAGGGAGCACCUUGGACUGUCUGCGCAGCCCUCCUCCCCCGCCCUCCAGAGUUGUGCUGGUGGGCUCCGGGCCGGGAAGAUGGAACCUGGCUGGAGGAGGGGGUCAGGGUGAGCACCACAGUUGGGUACAGAUUCCAAUGAGGGAGGGGCAGAGGGAACACCCCCCCACCAGCUGCUCCAGCCCCGGGGGAGCCCACCGUCACCACCUGCCAUCACGGCAUGGAGCUGGCAGGAAGCAACUGGGUAUGAUCUUAAAAACCAAUCUGAUAAGGAAAUGAGUAGCUUGGGGUGUGGGACUAAGCAGCCCCUAAAAGGAGUGGGAGACCAUGGCCACCAGCUGUGAGCUUACUCCUGAGCAAUGAGCAGGGAUUCAAAGCUUGGUUAAUUUUUUUUUUAACAAAUUACUAAUUUGCUUUAUUCCAAAGAUGAGGUUUGCUGUCCCAUUUCUUUCCAAUGGAAGCCCCCUGGCCAAGACAGCCCUGGACGUCAGAUUCAUUUUGGACGGGGGAGAAUAGGUAGGGGGAGCUGAGGGCUGACUUGACUGGUGCCUAGGGUUGCAGGUCAGUGUCACAGGUUGCUAACAGAAGAAUCUUUUGACAUCACCAGGGGCAAAAGAGAUAGAACGCUACCUGCUAGAGGAGAGCACCUGCUAAAAGAAAACCUCCUCCUUUUCCUGUCUUCAGCACCUAGCAACUUCUGGGAUUGACAGUCUACCUGCAAACAGGGCAACAGAGGUAAAGAGCUGCAGGGCCGACUCCGCAAAGUCCUGAAUCCUGGGGAGAAGAGCACUGGGAGCUCCCUGGCUGUGUGUGUGUGUGUGUGUGUGUGUGUGUGUGUGUGUGUGCACGUGCAUUUGUUAUGCAUCGGUAUAGAAACAUGUUCCUGUGUGUGCGUGUGGGACUGAUUGAUUGGUGUGGGGCUUGUCUGCAGUGGGGCCCGAGACUCAGCCUUCUAAGCCUCCUUCCCCCACUCCCCACGACAUAAUAUUUCUUAUACAUGACCCUAUCUAUGUAUUUAUAUAGCGCCUAUCACCAUAGGCCCUAUCUUUCUAGGGAUGCGAACAUGGGACCAUGUGCUUGACAGCACACCUCCCAGCCCUGCCAGUCCCAGGAGGUGCCAUUCCCCCCUCCCAUUAUAAAAUAUAUAUCUCUAUAUGCCACAUAUCUACACCCCAUCUAUUCAGGCAGGCGUCUGCCCAUUGGGCCCUCACCCUGGAGCCACCCACGCCAUCCCUGCCUACCGCCAACGCCAGGCCGCCUGCCUCGGUGGGAAGCGGAACCAAGUGUCGUGCACUUGGGGCUCCAGGUGCUGCCGACUCGAGGUAAGAGCACAGCUUUCAUCAGACCAAGUACUAGAAAAAAAAUACACACCACUCCGAUCACACACGCGAGGAGAGAGGGGCCUGGUCCUCCCUCCAGCCCUGACACACGUGACUCGAGAGGAGGGAAGCAGAAGAGAAGAGGGAUACGCCCGGAAGGCCGGCCUCAGGGACACCCUCCCUGGCCGCUCAGCUGUUGCCCACCACGCCUGGUGGCCCACCUGGCCCGAGGGGUGGGGAGCCAGGGCACCAGGGCCACCACUAACUUCG
ensembl:lncRNA